rnacentral:rRNA from 1 species
UACGUAGGGGGCAAGCGUUGUCCGGAAUCAUUGGGCGUAAAGCGCGUGUAGGCGGCCCGGUAAGUCCGCUGUGAAAGUCAAAGGCUCAACCUUUGAAAGCCGAUGGAUACUGCGGAGCUAGAGUACGGAAGAGGCGAGUGGAAUUCCUGGUGUAGCGGUGGAAUGCGCAGAUAUCGGGAGGAACACCAAUAGCGAAGGCAGCUCGCUGGGACGUUACUGACACUGAGGCGCGAAAGCGUGGGGAGCGAACAGG